ensembl:lncRNA
CUCCAUAGAUACAGAGGGUUAGAGAGGUUCUCCAUAGAUACAGAGGGUUAGAGAGGUUCUCCAUAGAUACAGAGGGUUAGAGAGGUUCUCCAUAGGAUACAGAGGGUUAGAGAGGUUCUCCAUAGAUACAGAGGGUUAGAGGUUCUCCAUAGAUACAGAGGGUUAGAGAGGUUCUCCAUAGAUACAGAGGGUUAGAGAGGUUCUCCAUAGGAUACAGAGGGUUAGAGGUUCUCCAUAGGAUACAGAGGGUUAGAGAGGUUCUCCAUAGAUACAGAGGGUUAGAGGUUCUCCAUAGGAUACAGAGGGUUAGAGAGGUUCUCCAUAGAUACAGAGGUUAGAGAGGUUCUCCAUAGGAUACAGAGGGUUAGAGAGGUUCUCCAUAGAUACAGAGGGUUAGAGGUUCUCCAUAGGAUACAGAGGGUUAGAGGUUCUCCAUAGAUACAGAGGGUUAGAGGUUCUCCAUAGAUACAGAGGGUUAGAGAGGUUCUCCAUAGAUACAGAGGGGUAGAUACAGAGGGUUAGAGAGGUUCUCCAUAGAUACAGAGGGUUAGAGAGGUUCUCCAUAGAUACAGAGGGUUAGAGAGGUUCUCCAUAGAUACAGAGGGUUAGAGAGGUUCUCCAUAGAUACAGAG